rnacentral:lncRNA from 1 species
AUAAAGCCAAAAAAAAUAAAUAACGCCCAAUUUUGAUUUUUAUAUUUUAUUGUUAUUUACUUUAUUUUCCUAAUUGGGUGUUAUUUCAUUGGGAGUUAUUUCAUGUCGCCAUAUUGACAAAAAUUGUCGUUCAGAAUGUUUGACCUAAAGGCAAUUACUUAUUAAAAAGAGAAACAAACCCUGCCACUACUAACUCAAAACGUGGACCCAUCGCAUUAAUAUUUAACCAAAAAUCUGAUAUCAUCAAUGGAAACAAGUGAAGUUCUGAACCCAAAUUUUUGAAUAAAAUAAUAUAAUCUAAAAAUUAAACAAAAUAAGUUAUGUUAUUUUACUUAUUUUUAAAAUUUGUAAAUAAAAUUGUAAAUAAUGAAUAAAAACAUAAAAGAUCUAGAUCUGGAUUAGGUCCGGGAAUCUUUUACAACUGAUUAUAUUUACUAUUUUUUUUCUGAGUGAGAUAUAUAAAUCUAGAUCUGGAUUAGGUCCGGGAACCUAUAUUAUCGUUGUUCAGUUGAAGGGUUCUAUUUAACUACUUAAAGUGUUGGAGAGAGACUUAAACCGGAUUGCUUUGAAAGGAAGACAUAAUGGUAGUACCACAGAGUUUUCCGAACGAUCCUGAACAUAUUGGUGGAAAAAGUAUAUGCUCGAAAAUUGUCAGAGGAUGAAGUACAGAAAUCAGAUGGCGUAACUUGGUUCCUUCCCAUAUUUAUUGUUAUAAACCAAAACAAGCCAGGAGAAGUUCGAUUGGAUGCGGCAGCAAAAAUAAAAGGAAUUUCCUUAAAAUCCAUGCAAUUGAAAGGAAAUGACUAGGAAAAACGUGUUAGGUUAACGCUACCGAUAAGAACAUUGAUGUUUAUUUUUGACCACUUUGGAUUCCUGUCGGCAUAUGUAGUUUAUCUAAAAGUAUUACUUCAAGAGGUUUGGGGAAAUACUGAAGGAUGGACACAUGAAGUCUUUAGGAAAUUAACAAUUUGGUUUAAUCUUCUACUUAAUAUAGGAAAUGUCAAAAUUCCUCGAUGGUGUUCAACCCAGCCUGAUUGAUGCUAGCGAAUUAACUUAUACUGUCUAGCGGGAAUUCAAAAAUUUCCAAUGUUUCAGAAGAACUCAGAAUUAAUCCUGUUACGGUCCAUCAAGAAAAAAUUGAUUCUACCUUAGUCGGUUUUCAUAGAAUAUCUUAAUGGAGGAAAUUAUUUCGAACUGUGGUAAAAUUUUAUACAUUUAUACAUAAAUUGAAGAUAAAAUAGUACAGAGUAAUAAAUCAACCGUAAAUUUUCCCAGAACUUUCUAAGGAGCAUUUUAUGACAGAAAAAUUAAUUUAUCGCACUACACAGCACGAUUCUUAAGAAGAUGAAUUUGUUGUCUUUUCAAACAAGAGUGAAAAAUUAGAAUUCAAGUGCCUUAUUCAAAUGCUCCCCAUAUAUCAUAUAAUUUGGAAAUUCGAAUUGGUUUAGCUCCUGUUAUACAUGAAAAUGAAAAACACUCAAUAAUUUUGCCAAGCCUUUUCCACAGAGUUGUCGAUUAAAAAUUUUCAUGAAAAGUUUCACCAUAUCAAUCAUGCCAUUUGCCUCAAUGAAUUGCCCAAUAAAUUUGCCAAGCCUAUUGCACAGAGUUGUCGAUUCAACAUUUUCAUGAAAAGUUUCACCAUAACAAUCAUGACACUUGCAUCAAUGAAUUGCUACAGUACUUUAAUAAUCCAAUAUUAAGAGUUACAUUAAAAGAAAUACGUAAAAAUUGUCAGUUCUGUAAGAAUUUAAAUGCGUCGCCUGUGGUUCCUGAAAUGUCACAGCUACUUAAAGCUCGGCUAUCACCAUCAUUAUAUGUAAAAGUUGGCCGACACCAAAAGAAACGUUGGGGAAUACUUUUAACUUACCAUAAUUCAAGUUGAAGUGGCGUAUGAUAUGACAGCCGACAGUUGAAUUCAUAAUUCUAAAUUUCGUUGCUCGAAGAGAUUGAUGAGGAGGACGUGUGCAUGGUGUAAUCUGAACCGCGAAACACGGAGGAAACCGGACAAAAUCCAGAGGCACAUGAGGGAGACUAUAAACAGACAAACAAAAGACAGGACACGGAACAGGACGAACGCAAAAGUUUGGCGGGCUACAAACGCUCUCUCAGGUAUGUCUGAGGAUGACUCCUUUACUGCGUUCGAUGUCGCCAAAUGGUAAAAGGGAGGAAGCUCUAGGCUUUCUCAAAAUCUGCGUCUGAGGUGGCGAACGCUGGCCCAACGUCAAGAUUAAAAUCGUCCCAUUGGACAAAGUACCUUUUGUUACGAUCUUUAUAGUGUGGGUUCCUCCUGCAAUUCUGUAGGAAAAUCCAAACUAACACUAAUUAAGCGUCAGAAUAAGGAACUUUGUACUGCGACCCUACGAUUAACGGAGAACGCACGAGUGAUAAGGGAGAAGGUAUGGAUCUCUGAAUCAAAAUUGGUUCAAAAUCCUUCGUUCCUCUUAAAUCGUCGUAAAGUACGAGCUCAUAUAACUUCCCUUGAUCUUGCUCUCAGAGAAACGCACUGAUGAAUCCAAGCGGCCUGCACCACUGCACCACUCUGAAGCAGCAACGAACAACUUGCUGCGCUUUAUGGAGAAGGAAGUUAUCCACGUGCUCUUAAUCCAAGAAUUCUGACUUGCAGCCAGUAAAUUUCGAGGCGUCCGGUCACGAAACCAUGUAUCUUUCUCCAACCUAAACCCGACCGGGUCAAAUUCAGACUCCUGUGGAAUCAGAUAUAUGCUGACGACGUUGUGCUUCUUAUUCAAGGAAUUUCUACAAUAAGCCCUCAAGCAUUCUAUUAUCGUGGGCCAAGGAAAACAGUCUGGGUGUUAACCCGUCCAAAACUGAACUGGUCCUUUCACCAGGAGGUAAAAAAUCCAGAAUUCAGAUCCUCGCGUUUGGAUGGUAACAUUUUGUAUACCUGAAGCGAUGCGAAAAAACUUGGCGAAAUCUUAGAAUCUAAGCUCACGUGAAAACGUAAUAAUGAGAGUCGAAUAAAGAGGGAAUUAUGUGCUUUCUAUAUAUGUAAGAAAACCUUUGGUAAAAGAUUGGGUCUUAAACCAUACAUUGUGCACUGGAUGUACACCGCGGUCAUAAAACCUACGGAGCUCUUGUUUGGUGGAGGCGUGGCACCACGCCUACUUUAAUUUAAGGUAAACGAGUUUGAUUCCAUUUACAAUAAAGCACCAACGCAAAACAAAAACAACAUUUUUAAAUAACAAUUGGAAACUCGUAAAAAAAUUUAUAAAAAUUUGAUUGAUAAUAAGUAGAAUGAAAUCAUUUGUUCAAUUCACAAUCGAUGUUGUAGCGUUGUAUGCGUUGUAUGUCAGCAGC